rnacentral:rRNA from 1 species
UGGGGGGACGCAGUAGGAUAGGCGAAGCGUGCGAUUGGAUUGCACGUCUAAGCAGUAAGGCUGAGUAUUAGGCAAAUCCGGUACUCGUUAAGGCUGAGCUGUGAUGGGGAGAAGACAUUGUGUCUUCGAGUCGUUGAUUUCACACUGCCGAGAAAAGCCUCUAGAUAGAAAAUAGGUGCCCGUACCGCAAACCGACACAGGUAGUCAAGAUGAGAAUUCUAAGGUGAGCGAGCGAACUCUCGUUAAGGAACUCGGCAAAAUGACCCCGUAACUUCGGGAGAAGGGGUGCUCUUUAGGGUUAACGCCCAGAAGAGCCGCAGUGAAUAGGCCCAAGCGACUGUUUAUCAAAAACACAGGUCUCUGCUAAACCGUAAGGUGAUGUAUAGGGGCUGACGCCUGCCCGGUGCUGGAAGGUUAAGAGGAGUGGUUAGCUUCUGCGAAGCUACGAAUCGAAGCCCCAGUAAACGGCGGCCGUAACUAUAACGGUCCUAAGGUAGCGAAAUUCCUUGUCGGGUAAGUUCCGACCCGCACGAAAGGCGUAACGAUUUGGGCACUGUCUCAACGAGAGACUCGGUGAAAUCAUAGUACCUGUGAAGAUGCAGGUUACCCGCGACAGGACGGAAAGACCCCGUGGAGCUUUACUGUAGCCUGAUAUUGAAAUUCGGCACAGCUUGUACAGGAUAGGUAGGAGCCUUUGAAACGUGAGCGCUAGCUUACGUGGAGGCGCUGGUGGGAUACUACCCUAGCUGUGUUGGCUUUCUAACCCGCACCACUUAUCGUGGUGGGAGACAGUGUCAGGCGGGCAGUUUGACUGGGGCGGUCGCCUCCUAAAAGGUAACGGAGGCGCUCAAAGGUUCCCUCAGAAUGGUUGGAAAUCAUUCAUAGAGUGUAAAGGCAUAAGGGAGCUUGACUGCGAGACCUACAAGUCGAGCAGGGUCGAAAGACGGACUUAGUGAUCCGGUGGUUCCGCAUGGAAGGGCCAUCGCUCAACGGAUAAAAGCUACCCCGGGGAUAACAGGCUUAUCUCCCCCAAGAGUUCACAUCGACGGGGAGGUUUGGCACCUCGAUGUCGGCUCAUCGCAUCCUGGGGCUGUAGUCGGUCCCAAGGGUUGGGCUGUUCGCCCAUUAAAGCGGUACGCGAGCUGGGUUCAGAACGUCGUGAGACAGUUCGGUCCCUAUCCGUCGUGGGCGUAGGAAAUUUGAGAGGAGCUGUCCUUAGUACGAGAGGACCGGGAUGGACAUACCUCUGGUGUACCAGUUGUCGUGCCAACGGCAUAGCUGGGUAGCUAUGUGUGGACGGGAUAAGUGCUGAAAGCAUCUAAGCAUGAAGCCCCCCUCAAGAUGAGAUUUCCCAACUUCGGUUAUAAGAUCCCUCAAAGAUGAUGAGGUUAAUAGGUUCGAGGUGGAAGCAUGGUGACAUGUGGAGCUGACGAAUACUAAUCGAUCGAAGACUUAAUCAA